GCAAUAACAGGUCUGUGAUGCCCUUAGAUGUCCGGGGCCGCACGCGCGCUACACUGAAGGAAUCAGCGUGUGCUUACCCCUGUCCGGCAGGAUUGGGUAACCCGUUGAACCUCCUUCGUGAUAGGGAUAGGGGCUUGUAAUUAUUCCCCUUGAACGAGGAAUUCCCAGUAAGCGCGAGUCAUAAGCUCGCGUUGAUUACGUCCCUGCCCUUUGUACACACCGCCCGUCGCUACUACCGAUUGAAUGAUUUAGUGAGGUCUUCGGACUGGUGCUCGGAGCGGCUUUCGGGUCGCGCCGGUGUACCGGAAAGAUGACCAAACUUGAUCAUUUAGAGGAAGUAAAAGUCGUAACAAGGUUUCC
rnacentral:rRNA from 1 species